rnacentral:rRNA from 1 species
UACAGAGGGUGCAAACGUUGCUCGGAAUCAUUGGGCGUAAAGCGCACGUAGGCGGCCCAGCAAGUGGGGAGUGAAAGCCCUCGGCUUAACCGAGGAAGUGCUUUCCAAACUACUGGGCUUGAAUACUGGAGAGGGUCGCGGAAUUCCCGGUGUAGAGGUGAAAUUCGUAGAUAUCUGGAGGAACACCGGUGGCGAAGGCGGCAUUCUGGACCGACAUUGACGCUGAGGAGCGAAAGCCAGGGGAGCAAACGGG